AAAUGAAUUGACGGGGACCCGCACAAGCAGAGGAGCAUGCCGUUUAAUUCGACGAUACGCGAAAAACCUUACCUAGACUUGACAUUCUAUGCAUAGUAUGGAAACAUAUGAAACCCUUCGGGGCAUAGGGACAGAUGGUGCAUGGUUGUCGUCAGCUCGUGUCGUGAGAUGUUGGGUUAAGUCCCGCAACGAGCGCAACCCUCAUGUAAAGUUGCUACAUUCAGUUGAGAACUCUUUACAGACUGCCGCGGACAACGCGGAGGAAGGUGGGGAUGACGUCAAAUCAUCAUGCCUCUUACGUCUAGGGCUACAGGCGUGCUACAAUGGCGACUACAAAGUGUUGCCAACCAGUAAUGGGGAGCCAAUCACAAAAAAGUCGUCUCAGUUCGGAUUGAGGGCUGAAACCCGCCCUCAUGAAGUUGGAUUUGCUAGUAAUCCCGAAUCAGCAUGUCGGGGUGAAUACGUUCCCGGGUCUUGUACACACCGCCCGU
rnacentral:rRNA from 1 species